rnacentral:rRNA from 1 species
CUACGGGAGGCAGCAGUUGGGAAUAUUGGACAAUGGGCGAAAGCCUGAUCCAGCAAUCCCGCGUGAGUGAUGGAGGCCCUCGGGUCGUAAAGCUCUUUCAGCAGGGAAGAAGCUUCGGCGGACGGUACCUGCAGAAGAAGCACCGGCUAACUACGUGCCAGCAGCCGCGGUAAUACGUAGGGUGCAAGCGUUGUUCGGAAUCAUUGGGCGUAAAGCGCGUGUAGGCGGCCUGUUAAGUCUGAUGUGAAAGCCCGGGGCUCAACCCCGGAAGUGCAUUGGAUACUGGCAGGCUAGAGGACGAGAGAGGUAAGUGGAAUUCCUGGUGUAGGGGUGAAAUCCGUAGAUAUCAGGAGGAACACCGGUGGCGAAGGCGGCUUACUGGCUCGUUUCUGACGCUGAGACGCGAAAGCGUGGGGAGCAAACAGGAUUAGAAACCCCUGUAGUCC